CAAGGCGUAGCUACAACUCCAAAGCAUUCAGCUUACACCUGAAAGAUACCUGCCCAAACACCAGGUCGCCUUGA
rnacentral:tRNA from 1 species